GUUAUGGGAGUGGAGCUCCUUGAAGUCCAACAGAAGAUCUAACAGGUUAGAUUGAGCUGCUGACCUAUGGAUUCCUCAGCCCUAUCUAUUUAUGAUUUAACAUAUAGAUAGCUUUGUGGGUUUGCAUAUGUCAGGAGCUUUAUUUUACCUUUUGUUUGAUCAUUUUUUGGAUUGAAGGGAGCUCUACAUUCGUAUCUC
rnacentral:pre_miRNA from 1 species